UCUUAUGGAUGAGCAAAGAAAGUGGUUUCUUGAGAUGGGACCCACUCCUGGUGAAGAUGCUGUGAA
rnacentral:pre_miRNA from 1 species